rnacentral:lncRNA from 1 species
UCAUCAUCUAAUACUAUUCCCCUCUCAUCAUCGCCCUUGCUUAAAAACACUGCCUACACCCCCAGAUAAAAACAUACUGAUAUAAAUCAUCACUUCAGAAUAAAUGAAGUUCUUAUUUGCAUAAUUUUCUUUCUUUAUGAACAUUAUAAUUUUAAUUAGAAAUUUAACUGACAUUUUACUUUAUUGAGAUACAAUAUACACAUCAUAAAAUCUAUUCAUUAUCUUUGCAUGGAUGUGUUCUUCAUUUAUCAUGGUACAUUCCUAGGAGUGGAAUUGCUGUGUCAUAUGAGAAGAAUAUAUCCAGGCUGAUCCAUCAAUCCCAGAAGGAGAACAAGAAACACAUGGAGCAGAGCUAAGUUACCCAGCCUAGCUCAGCCUAGAUCAGCAUCCUGUAACAGGCCCCCAGCCUUGUGGGCUAAAUAAACAUGUGUUGUUGUAUGUUACUGUGUUGUUUUUACUUAGCACUCUGUGGCAAUAGCUGAUAUACCUUCUGUGAUCGCCCUGUUUAAAAUUUAAUGUGCACAAGAUAUAAAACCCAAAAUGCACAGAUGUGUUAGUAUCACAUCAUCUAUAAGAUUCUCUUUAAUUUACUGACCAUUUUAAAAUUUAGUACAUUACUCUUCUUUUUUGGCAAAAAGGCACCCGACUUGCAUGGUUUUCUGUGAGAACUAAGCUUUUGCAUGACUUGUUCAUGCCUUUGUAUCCAAUCAGAGCAACACUGACAGCAGAUGCUUUGGAUAUAAUUUCCCAUUCAUCUUAGUUUUUUCUUCACAACAUUUGAUUCUUGCAGUUGCUGGAAUGAUUUCCAGAAUGAGAUUCAUUGUAUAAGCUUUGAGUCAGGAAUUUUAGCAUUUUAGAAUAAACAAAUGCACACAGAUUGUUCCUAAAGAACAGGCUUAGGGCCCAGAAAUUACAGUACUCCAAUCAUUCUCUUGCCAUUUUUAGUUACUUCAUAGCUUGGUAAAAUAAGCUGUUUCCAGGCAUUCCAUGCAUUUUUUUGUCCCUAGUUCACCAGCCCUUUUCCACAGUUCUCUUGGGUAUUCUCUUUAGAACUUAAUAUUUAAGCAUGGAUAUAAAAACAAUUUGCAACAUGAGAUUUAGCUGUGUGUGCAAAAUUUUAUUUAUUUAUUUUUUUACAUAUGGUUGAGAGAGUUCAUAGCUUUU